rnacentral:rRNA from 1 species
GAUGAACGCUGGCGGCGUGCUUAACACAUGCAAGUCGAACGGAAAGGCCCUGCUUUUGUGGGGUGCUCGAGUGGCGAACGGGUGAGUAACACGUGAGUAACCUGCCCUUGACUUUGGGAUAACUUCAGGAAACUGGGGCUCAUACCGGAUAGGAGCUCCUGCUGCAUGGUGGGGGUUGGAAAGUUUCGGCGGUUGGGGCUGGACUCGCGGCUUAUCAGCUUGUUGGUGGGGUAGUGGCUUACAAAGGCUUUGACGGGUAGCCGGCCUGAGAGGGUGACCGGCCACAUUGGGACUGAGAUACGGCCCAGACUCCUACGGGAGGCAGCAGUGGGGAAUAUUGCACAAUGGGCGGAAGCCUGAUGCAGCAACGCCGCGUGCGGGAUGACGGCCUUCGGGUUGUAAACCGCUUUCGCCUGUGACGAAGCGUGAUUGACGGUAAUGGGUAAAGAAGCACCGGCUAACUACGUG